rnacentral:rRNA from 1 species
UACAGAGGUGGCAAGCGUUGUUCGGAAUUACUGGGCGUAAAGGGUUCGUAGGUGGCCUACUAAGUCAGACGUGAAAUCCCUCAGCUUAACUGGGGAACUGCGUCUGAUACUGGGGGGCUUGAGGACAGGAGAGGAACGCGGAAUUCCAGGUGUAGCGGUGAAAUGCGUAGAUAUCUGGAGGAACACCGGUGGCGAAGGCGGCGUUCUGGACUGUUUCUGACACUGAGGAACGAAAGCCAGGGGAGCAAACGGG